rnacentral:tRNA from 1 species
AAAGACUGUAGUUUAGUGGAAGAGAUUCUGCUUUCUGUGCAGAAAGUCCCAAGUUCAAUCCUUGGUAUAUUUA